rfam:Oceanobacillus picturae, S1, WGS project CCAX01000000 data, contig: 000001
CUAUUCUAAUUUAAUAGUAUUCAUAUAAUAGUGGGGAUAUGGCCCACGAGUUUCUACCGGUUUACCGUAAAUUAACCGACUAUGAGUGUAAUAAAUGAAAGG